rnacentral:lncRNA from 1 species
AAAUAAAACUAAUUUUAUUAAUGAAAAUAAUUAUACAAAAUAUUAAAAACACACCUGGAAAUCAAGAUUACAAGGAGAUGGAGAGAAUUUGAGAAGAAGAGAGUUGUAGAGAGAUGAUUAAAACAUAAAAAUGAGGCCUUAUUUAUAGAAAAAUAAAUUCAUAAUCCAGUGCUUUGUGGUCCAUCAUAGGCUUCAUGCAUGUGCUCCUCACAACCCUUAGAUCAAGAUCCAAUGGCUAGUCAAACUUCAAAAGUCAACAUCACACAUGGCAUCAUUUGACUCGUCCGAUUUGCCCAAAGAACGGUUGAGAUUUGGCGGGUUAAUGGGUGGAUCGGGUCGACCCAAAUACAAAGAUUCGGAUCCUCCAACUUGCUUCACCAACCAUUGCCACGUGGCACAAUCAUGGCCAUUGAAUCAUGAACGGUUGAGAUUUAGUCAAGAUUGCCAGUUAUCCCAUGCACUCAUAUCUAUUGUAAGCUCAUUUCAUCAUCCAAUCAGUGCUCGGUCAACAGGAAAAGUCAACUUUUUUUACACAAGCCCAAUUUUAAGCCGAUCUUGACUGAUCUUAAGGUUUUCGGACCUCCGGAAUCCAAAUUUGACCUCCGUUUAUUUGUUUGGAGCCUCGAAGUACGUGAAAUUAAUAAUUUUCCUAAUAAACACAUAAAAAUACACAAAAUUAAAUAUAUUUAAAACAUAAUUAAUAAUUCAUAAUAUAUUACAUAAACACAAAUAUAAAUUAUAACAUAAGCAUAAAAUAACAUAUUAUCGCUUGAUAAUUAAACAAUUUUUAAUACUAAUCACACCCCCCAACCAGCUUAUUGCUAGCCCUCUAGCAAUUAAAGCGUUAUAUUAAGAUUUAUAAAAUUCACAUGCAAGUUAAUAGUUGUUCAUCUAUCCUCUAAAUUACCAAAUAAAUGAACUCUCCCAAAUUCCUUUACCACAUUGAUGUUCACUCAUUAUCCAGAAUAUCAUCAAACCUUCUUUUGUGCUCAAGUAAUUAACACAAUACUUAUAGGGCUUCAUUAAAAGAAAAACAACAUUUUCGUUCUAAAAUUCAUUAGAAAUUAUAUCUUUAGGCAAUAGAUUAUUCACACAUUUUUUUUUAUAUUACAUUUCUAACCCGUUUAGCGAGCUUUAGGUCAGUGACUCCCAGACCAGUUGGCCUUAGGGCACUAGGUGUUGAAGCACCCCUACGGACUUAAUUACUCGGGUUUCUAAUAAACAAACAAUAUAUCUAUUACCCAUGUAGCGAGCUUUAGGCCAGUGACUCCCAGACCAGUUGACCUUAGGGCACUAGGUGUUGAAGCACCCCUAUGGACUUAAUUACUCGGGUUUCUAGAUAUAACAAAAUUAAAAACAUUUUUUUUUUGAUUUUUUGAUUUUUUGAUUUUUUUAUUUUGGAAAUAUACACUUUCUACUACCUUAGAUACUAUUCCUAAUAAAUCAAAAGAACUAAAUGCUGUAAAAUUUUAACUUACAACCCACUAGUAUGUGUCAUAAUGUGUGUGUGAAGAAUGAUUCAAUAAUACCUGUUAAAUGAGUAAACAAUUAAAUAACUUAAUAACUAAGUGGAGAGUUCACAAAUUUGAGUAAUUCAAAGAAAAGGGAACAAAAACAACUUACUAUGAAUCUCAAAAUCAAAAUAUAAUACAACAAGACUAUUAGGAUGCGUCUCAAAAGUCGUGACUCUUUACACGGCCAUCCUAGACAGAAAACAAUUUUUUUUUUUGGUUUUUUUUUAACAAAGAAAAGAAAAGAGAAAAGAGAAAUACAACACACAUAUUUAAAACAUACGUCAAUUAUCCCCACCCCACAACCUAAUCUAAACAUUAUCUUAACAUUUUAUAAUUUUACAGAUAUGCAAAAAAAUAAAAAUAAAUAAAUAAAUAAAAAUAAAAGAGAAUAAUAAAAGAAGAAGAAGAAGAGAUCUCACCUGAACUUGAUGCAGAAGCUUAAAAGUAGAUAACAAAGAUGAAGAAAAAGUCAAUUUUUUUUUGUUUAACAACACUCUUAAGAUUAAGAAGAUGCGUUUCUAGAGAGACUACAUUCUCUAUAUCCUGCCAUCUUUGACUCAAAUUUGUCCUAAGUUAGUCUUUACAGAAAAAAAAAAUGUUUUUUUUUGUUUUUUUGUUUUUGUUUUUUGUAAACACAUAACCAGGACCAAGACAUUCCACAAUUAUCAACUAUUCCCUCCCCCCAACCUGAAAAAGACAUUGUCCUCAAUGUUUUUAAAGGAAAGAGAAAGAGUGUAGAAGAUAUCACAUGAACACUACAACAGAAAAUAUUUACAAACGGAGAGUUAAAUCUAAAUCGCACUUCUUAUUACUGCUACUGUUACCGUUACCAUCAUUAGUCGACCAAUUCAGUGCAACAGUCUGUGGAUCUGGCUCUGGUGUAUAAGUUUGUAAAAGAUCAAGUAACUCAUUAGCAGUAGAAGCAGAGAUAAAUAGUUUUUUUACAGAAUGUGGAACAAAAUGAUUCUUUAUUGCAUGAUUAAUAAAAGUUAGCAAGCCGUCAUAAAAAUUAUUAACAUUUAACAAACCGAUGGGUUUUUGAUGAAUGUUCAAGUGGGCCCAAGAUGCAAAUGUAAUUAGUGCCUCAAAAGUUGCAAGAUCUCCUGGCAAGAAAAUAAAAGCAUCAGCAUGAUUCAUCAUUUCAGAUAUUCUCUCUUGCAUACUUGAUACCACUAAUUCUUCUCCAAUUGGUGGGCCAGACAUGCACACUAGCGGUUUCAUGGGUUUUGGGAUAAUGCCGAGUACUUGGCUUCCUCUGGUAAAAACAGCUUCUGAGACAAGUCUUGAUAACCCUCGUUCACCUCCUCCAUAUACAAGAUGCAGUUUCCUCUCUGCUAUGACACGACCAAGAUCUACAGCUGCCUGAACGAACUCUUUGUACUUUCCAUAGUGAAACCCAGAAAGCACACAAAUGUUUUUGAAUUGUUUACUCGAAGAUGAUGCCAUUGGACUAAUUUUUCAAAAACAAGUUGUGAGUGUUUGAAAAAUGAGCUCAUAUUUAAAGAUCUUGGUAACAUAAAUAAUGAGAAACAGCUGUAAAUGGGUUGGCAAUAUUUGUCAAAUGACGAGUAAAGCUCGUGGCUCAAUAAUUCAAAAACAAACAGUAAAAAGAAAGUAAUGAUUAAAAAAAGCAAACAGUAAAAGAAAACCAAAUAUUUAUUAAAUACAAAAUCACAUCGCUAAAUGCAAUAAUGCAAAUGAUAAAAUAACAGUAAAGUAAAAUAACAGUAAAGUGAAAGGAUAUUUACUGGUAGUUGUGAUUGUGGCUCACAUCUUCCUCUGGUUUUACGUCCAGUAACGGCUUGAACGCCCUCUAUGGGUCGAGGAUCGGCUUCCCAUCCAGUUUUCUUAUAAACUGGCAAACAGGGUCUUUUUGAGUCAGAUUCCCAAGACUUAACUGUGCACUUUGUUUUUGGAAUAGUAUCCACAAAUUGUAAAUCUCACGUUGCACAAUUCCGCUUCGAUGCGUCUCAAGAGAUCGUAAGAUAUCAUCCAACGAUUCUUUACUCAUGCCAUCUUUAACGAAUUUAAUUUUAUCUUCACGAGUAUCAGAAACCAUUCCUAAAGAUUUACAAUCUGGUCGUUUGCAACCAAGUCUCACACAGUUAUGACAUUUUGAGCCAAGUCGUUUAGCUCUCCUUUUCUUAGCAAACGUACUUUUACCAAAACCAGGCAUGUAAGAAACAAAUUGACCAGAAAACUCACCUGCUAAUCGGACCUUUGCUUCAAUUAACCAACGAAUGUCAGAAGGAAUGCCAUUGAUCAUUAACAAACGCAAUCGUUCACAACGAGCUUUGUAAAUUUUCCUGAGGGCAUUCUGAGGGAGAGAAGGAAAAUGCUUAUGGAGUUUAUGUUGUAUUUCUUCCAUGUUUGAUUUUGGGGUUUCAGUUAUUGUGGGAAACUGAAGAUACCGACUUAAGAAGUCACGGAGUACCGUUAUCCGCCAUUUAUACGGGAAAAUAAAUCAAAACACACCAAAAUCAAAUCUGCAAAAUCAAAUCAAGCGUGAAAGCGAGCAAAAAGAAGCACACAAUAUAAAAGGAAAAUGAACUUACAUUCGUCCUCUCAUUGAGUUAACCUCAAGCUCCAUUUGAAAUUCAUAUAUGCCACUCUCUACUGUUCUGAGUUGUCCCUCUAGAUCCUCAACAUAGGACACGAAUUCUGGUGGUUGCAGAUCCCAAAGUGGAUGUGAUUUACAGCUUUGUAUCAGGCCUCUUAAGUGAAAUUUUAUACGCCGAAAUCUUUUAAGAUGUGCGAACAGGUAUUUUCUCAUUGAGGUGCUCAUGAUGUAAAAUGAAAAUUGAUGAGAGAAUGUACAACUGUCAAACAAACACGCUUACACAAGAAAAACAAUGUUAAAAAAAAAACUAUGUACAGUGCAUCAAUCUAAGGAAAAAAAAAAGUCAAACAAUGAAACGGUAAAAUAAUAGUAAAACAAAAAAAAAUCAUUAAAAACUUAAUCAAGAACUGGUGGGUCAUCCAAAUUAAUUUCGGUGUCCUCGUCACGUGGGUGAUGUUCCAGAUAUGGUUUUAAUCUUUGACCAUUAACUUUAAAUGUNNNNNNNNNNNNNNNNNNNNNNNNNNNNNNNNNNNNNNNNNNNNNNNNNNNNNNNNNNNNNNNNNNNNNNNNNNNNNNNNNNNNNNNNNNNNNNNNNNNNNNNNNNNGACGAGAAUUAUAAAGCAACACUUUUUGACCAAUCUCAAAUGUUUUUCGAAAAAUUCUUUUAUCAUGAAAUGCUUUUGUUCUUGCCUUAAUAAUUCUUGAAUUUUCAUAUGCAUCAUUCCUUAAUUCCUCAAGUUCAUUCAAUUGUAAUUUUCGCACAUUACCAGCAUCAACCAAAUUUGAAUUAAAAGCUUUAAUAGCCCAAAGUGAUUUAUGUUCAAGUUCAACAGGUAAAUGACAAGGUUUACCAUAAAUUAACCGAUAGGGUGACAUUCCUAAUGAUGUUUUAAAUGCAGUGCGGUAAGCCCAAAGUGCAUCAUUAAGUCUAAGAGACCAAUCUUUUCGGUUUGGGUUAACCGUUUUUUCCAAAAUUUGUUUUAUCUCCCUAUUUGCUAAUUCAACUUGACCAUUUGUUUGAGGAUGAUAAGGGGUAGCAAUUUUAUGUGUAAUUCCAUAUUUCUUCAUUAAAGACUCAAAUGACUUAUUACAAAAAUGCUUACCUCCAUCACUGAUAAUGGCUCGAGGGAUUCCAAAUCGACUUAAAAUGUUUUCUCUUAAAAAUUUAAUCACAGUUUUACUGUCAUUAUUUCGACAAGAAAUUGCUUCAAUCCAUUUUGAGACAUAAUCAACUGCAACUAAUAUAUAUACAAAUCCAAAAGAUGAUGGAAAUGGACCCAUGAAAUCAAUUCCCCAACAGUCAAAUAUUUCAAUUUCAAGUAUGGGAUUUAAGGGCAUCAUGUUUCUUUUUGUAAUUGAUCCCAAUUUUUGACAUUUUUCACAACUUUUGCAAAAUUCAUAUGUGUCUUUAAACAUGGUAGGCCAAUAAAAUCCACACUGCAAAAUUUUAGCAGUAGUUUUUCUUGAAGAAAAGUGACCACCACAUGCUUCAGAAUGACAAAAAUUAAUGACACUACUUACCUCAUUAUCAGGAAUACAUCGCCGAAAAAUUUGAUCUGGGCAAUAUUUGAACAAAUAAGGAUCAUCCCAAUAAAAUUUCUUUACUUCAACAAAAAAUUUCUUCUUCUCUUGAGCAUUCCAUUGCAAAGGCAUUUUACCUGUAACAAGAAAAUUAACAAUAUUAGCAUACCAUGGCAUUGAAGUAACAGAAAAUAAAAAUUCAUCAGGGAAAGAAUCAUUUAUGGGUGUUAUAUCAUUGCAGAAUUCGGAUGUGAGUCUUGAUAGAUGAUCAGCAACAACAUUUUCAACACCCUUUUUAUCUUUGAUGGUAAGGUCAAAUUCUUGUAGUAACAAAAUCCAACGAAUUAGUCUCGGUUUGGCAUCCUGUUUACUCAUCAAAUAUCUCACAGCAGCAUGGUCAGUAAACACAACAGAUUUAGAGCCAAGCAAAUAUGAACGGAAUUUGUUUAAUGCAAAUACCACAGCAAGUAAUUCUUUUUCAGUUGUAGAAUAAUUUAUUUGAGCACUAUCCAAAGUCUUGCUCGCAUAAUAAAUCACAAAAGGCUUACCAUCCCUUCUUUGUCCUAAAACAGCACCAACAGCAAAAUCACUUGCAUCACAAAUUAAUUCAAAUGGCAAAGACCAAUCAGGAGAUUGCAUAAUAGGUGCAGAUGUUAAAAGACAAAUUAUUUUUUCAAAAGAUUUUUGGCAAUCAUCAUUCCAUUCAAACGGUGCAUCUUUUAAUAAGAGGUUACAAAGUGGUUUAGAUAUGGCACUAAAGUUUUUUAUAAACCUCCUAUAAAAUCCUGCAUGUCCUAAAAAGGAUCGCACAUCUCUAACUGUUUUUGGUUGUGGCAAUUUAGAUAUGACUUCGAUUUUUGCUUUGUCAACUUCAAUUCCUUUAAUAGAAACAACAUGACCCAAAACAAUUCCAGAAGUAACCAUGUAGUGACAUUUUUCCCAAUUCAACACGAGUUCUUUUUCAACACAUCUUUUUAAAACUUUCUCCAAAUUAUCAAGGCAAUCAUCAAAAGAAUUCCCAAACACAGUCAAAUCAUCCAUAAAGACCUCUAAACAAUGUUCAACCAUAUCACAAAAAAUGCUUAACAUACAUCUUUGAAAUGUUGCAGGAGCAUUACAAAGCCCGAAUGGCAUUCUUUUAAAUGCAAAUGUUCCAAAAGGACAUGUGAAUGUGGUCUUUUCUUGGUCCUCAAGUGCUAUAGGAAUUUGAUAAUAACCUGAAUAUCCAUCUAAAAAACAGUAGUAGGGAUGUCCUGCUACUCUUUCUAAGAUUUGGUCAAGGAAUGGUAAUGGAAAAUGAUCUUUUCUAGUGGCUUCAUUUAAUUUUCUAUAAUCAAUGCACAUGCGCCAACUAGAUGUAAUUCGUGUUGGAAUUAAUUCACCUUUUUCAUUUUUAACAACAGUGAUUCCAGAUUUUUUAGGCACUACUUGUGUAGGACUUACCCACUUACUAUCAGAAAUAGGGUAGAUAAUUCCCACAUCAAGUAAUUUAAGGACUUCUGUUUUGACUACCUCUUUCAUGUGUGGGUUUAAUCUUCUUUGAGGUUGUUGACAUAUUUUAGCAUUUUCUUCCAAAUUAAUUCUAUGUGUGCAGAUUAAGGGAUUAAUGCCUUUAAUGUCAUUUAAAGUCCAUCCUAUUGCAUUUUUAUGCUUUUUAAGAACAGUUAGUAACUUACCUUCUUGGUCGCUUGUUAAAGUAGAAGAAAUCACAACAGGAUAAGUUUGUUCUUCUCCAAGAAAAGCAUAUUUCAAUCCUUCAGGCAAAGGUUUCAAUUCCAUUUUAGGUGCUUCUUGUUGUUCUGUCUUUUCAAUACUUCCAAGCUCCUCAAAUUUUGGCUCGUCAUCAUAAUUUUGCGAAGUCUGCAUAGAAUCAAGCAACGAAUUUAUAUUAGAAAUAUCAAGUUUAAGUUGCUUAUUUGACUCAAUUGAAUUAACUAAACAAACAUUAGAAAGUUCAGAAAAAUCCCCUUUUUGAAUAUUUUCCUCGAUACAAGAUUCAAACAAUUCCUUUUGUUCAUCAGUAUCAUCUUCAUUCUCAUUUUCUUCAUUAGGUUGCCUGCACAUGUUGAAAACAUUCAAUUCCAAAGUCAUAUUCCCAAAGGAUAAAUUCAUUAAACCAUUCCUACAAUUAAUCAAAGCAUUAACAGUUGCUAAAAAUGGUCGACCUAAAAUUACAAGAAUUGGUUUGUAAUUAUUCACAACAGGUUCAGUUUCCAAGACAAUAAAAUCCACAGGAUAAAUAAAUUUAUCAACUUGUACUAAAACAUCUUCCACUAUUCCUUUUGGUACUUUAACUGAUCUAUCGGCAAGCAAAAGUGUAGUUGAAGUUGAUUUUAACUCACCAAGAUUAAGUUGAAGAUAAACUGAAUAUGGAAGCAAAUUAACACUAGCACCAAGAUCUAGUAAAGCAUGCUCAAUUCUGUGGUUACCAAUAAUACAAGAAAUGGUAGGACAACCAGGAUCUUUAUAUUUCAACUUAUUAUUAGUAGACAGAAUUGUACUUACCUGUUCGGCCAUGAAAGCACUCUUUCUUACCUUCAAUUUCCUCUUAACAGUGCACAAGUCCUUUAAAAAUUUGGCAUAUGAAGGAACCUGCUUGAUUGCAUCUAAUAGAGGAAUGUUAACUUUCACUUGCUUAAAGAUUUCAUAAAUUUCAGAAGAGUGGUUUGAUUUCUUUGGUUUAUUCAAUGCAUGCGGAAAUGGUGGUUCAGGUGGAACACUAGUUAUUUCUUCACUAGGUGUAAGUUCAUUUAGUCCUUCCUUACCCUUUGAAUUUUCAUCAUUUUCAUAAGGUUCAGGCAUAGGUCUAUCAACAACCUUACCACUACGAAGAGUUAUAACUGACUUGACUUGGUCUGUGGGUGAAUUUUGUUGAAUUUUAGGAUUUGGUUGUGGUUGGGCUGGAAAUUUUCCUUUUUCUUGAAUGGUGAGUGCAGAAGCAAUUUUAGCAAGAGUAUCUUUCAAAUCAGAAAAAGUUUGUGCAUUUUGAUUGUUAAUAACAUCUUGCUUUCUGAUGAAUGAAUGCAUUGUGUCCUCCAGAUUUUUCCAAGGUGGUGGAACAUAUGGUGCAUAAGGCUGAGGAUUUUGAAAAUUUUGUGGAGGUGGUGCUUGUGAAGAUUGUGCAUUAUUAUUAUUCCUCCAACUGAAAUUCGGAUGAUUUUUCCAACCAGGAUUAUAAGUCUGUGAAUAUGGGUUUGGUUUAUUGAAAGUGUUAAUGACAUUAGCUUGAUCAUUUAGACAUUCUUUAAGUGCAGGCAAAGUGGGACACUCUUGAGUGAAAAGAUCAUUCGAAUUACAUAUGUUACAUGCAAUUUCUUGAACAGAUUUUACUUGAUCACUCUUUUUAUGCUCCAAAGCUUCAACUUUCCUAACUAGGGAUGCAAAUUUUGCUUGUAAAUCAUGAUCUUCCCUAAGGUUAUGGAUUCCUCCACUAGAUGGAGAUGAUUGUUGCUUAUUUGUCAAUUCAAAAGUUCCAACAGUAUCCCAAUGUUGUGCAUUUUCAGCUAAUUGGUCAAGGUAAUCUAGUGCAUCUUCAGGAUUUUUAUCCCUAAAUUCACCAUUACACAUCAUUUCAACAACCUGUCUACUUUGGGGUAUUAAGCCUUCGUAGAAAUAAGUGACCAAUCGCCAAGUUUCAAAACCAUGAUGUGGGCAUAUGUUAAGCAACUCUUUAAACCUAUCCCAACAUUGGUAUAAUGUUUCUCCAUUUUUUUGAGUGAAAGAAGUGAUUUGCCUUUUAAAAGAAUUUGUUCUAUGAGGUGGAAAGAAUUUUUUCAAAAACUGUUCUUGCAUGUUAUUCCAACUUCUUACUGAUCCAGAUCUAAGGUUUUGUAGCCAAGUUUUAGCUUUAUCUUUUAAUGAAAAAGGAAAAAGCUUUAAUCUAAUUAUGUUCAUGCUACAAUUUUGGUCCGUGUAUGUAUUACAAACUUCCUCAAAAUCUCUUAGAUGCAAGUACGGAUUCUCAGAUUCUAAACCAUGAAAUGUUGGUAAAAGUUGGAUAAUACCUGGUUUAAAAUUGAAUUGAGAUGCUUCUGGAGGAAAUACUAUACACGACGGUGCUCCGGUUCUGGUUGGAUUCAUGUAGUCUCUCAGAGUCCUUGGUUGAUUCUGAUCAUGCCCAUGUUGAGAUUGGUUGUCUCCCUGAUCAAUUUGAGGAUUAAGUUCGCCCAAAACGUUUUUGCCUUCAUUCUCAUCCAUAAUUGGUGGUGGAGAUUGAGAUCUACGAAUUAACCUGCCACUUGAAGAUCGAGACCAACGUCUCAUGCAAGGGUUAUGUUAUAAAGAUAAUAUUUACACAAAUUGAUAAUAAAAUAAAAUUAAAAAUUAAAUAUGCAAAUAAUAUAAGUGUACAAAAGAAAAUUAAAUAACAAUUUUGGUGGUUGAACCCACUAGUUAACAAUAUAAAAUAAAUGCAAAAGAAAGAAAAAGAAAAAAUGGUAGUUAAACCCACCAAUAAAGCAAAAAAAUAAAAUAAAAUAAAAUAAACGCAAAAUAAUAAAAUAAAUAAAUAAAAUGGUGGUUGAACCCACCAAUAAAAAAAAUAAAGCAAAAACAAAAUACAAAAUUAAAUAAAUACUGAAAAUAAAAAUUAGGAGUUAGUAGUUAGUUUGGUGGUUGAACCCACCAAUAAAGCAAAAAUAAAUAAAUACGAAAUUAAAUAAAUGCAGAAAAUUAAAUAACUGAAAUUAAAAAAGUUAGCAGUUAGCAGUUAGUAAGUUAAGAGUUAGUAAUUAGAGUUAGUAGUUAAAGUUAGUUUAGUCCAAAAUAUGUUGAGGAAUUUCGUCUAGGGAUUCUAUUGCAAAUUAUUUUUAAUUUUAUGGUCAAACUGUAAUUUUUAGAAGUUUAGAAUUAUUUUUAAUUUUAUGGCCAAACUGUAAUUUUUAGAAGUUUAGAAUAGAAAUUUGGAAUGAAAGUGAAACAGUUGGGGUGAAACUAGAAUUAUGAAAGAUAUGGGGACAAAAGAGAAUUUAAGAAAAGAAAAAGGGGGUAAACGAAAUUUUACAUAUAAGAGAAAAAUAAAAAACGGAAAAACAAACCAAAUAAAAAAAACUUUUCCCCGGCAACGGCGCCAAAAACUUGACACAUCUUAAAAGUAAUUUUUAACUCUCAAGUAUAAGAGUGUCUUGUUGUAUUAUAACUCGGUGAGUCCGAGGUCGAUCCACAGAGAAAAGAUUUAAUUAGUUUAUUUUAUUUUAUCUAAAAAUUAAAAUUAAAAUUUGAAUAUAAACAACUUAAUUUAAAUGAAACUAUGGAAUUGAACUAGUUAGGGUUAUGGAUCCACUCUUAGAAAUAAAUAAAACUUAAUAAAUUCUUUUUGCCAAUUUUUUUUAGAUUUAUUACCCAAAAGAUUAAUUAUACAAAUUAUUAUUAUUUUCCCUUUAAAUUUUAUGAUGGAUUAAGUAUUUAUUGUGCCAAAAUUUAAUUUGUCUACAAUAAGUCAAAAUACCAUUUCACCAUGCCUUAUAUUAAGAUCUUAAGAAUUUAUUGUGCCAAAUUCAUUUGUUUGUCUACAAUAAAUCAAAUUUUCAAAAUAUAAAACAUGUAUAAAAUUAAAUAGAAAAUAAUUUAAUUUAUAAAAUUAAACAUAGAAUUUGAUUAAAUCAUAUUUAUUUCUUAAGAGUUUCACCUUCCCCUAACUAAUAUUAUUUAGUUAAGCAUAAUUAAAAUAAAAAGAAGUAGUAAAAUUGAAUUACUUAUAAUUAAAAGAAAUAAAAACAACUAAAAUUGGAAAUAAAACUAAUUUUAUUAAUGAAAAUAAUUAUACAAAAUAUUAAAAACACACCUGGAAAUCAAGAUUACAAGGAGAUGGAGAGAAUUUGAGAAGAAGAGAGUUGUAGAGAGAUGAUUAAAACAUAAAAAUGAGGCCUUAUUUAUAGAAAAAUAAAUUCAUAAUCCAGUGCUUUGUGGUCCAUCAUAGGCUUCAUGCAUGUGCUCCUCACAACCCUUAGAUCAAGAUCCAAUGGCUAGUCAAACUUCAAAAGUCAACAUCACACAUGGCAUCAUUUGACUCGUCCGAUUUGCCCAAAGAACGGUUGAGAUUUGGCGGGUUAAUGGGUGGAUCGGGUCGACCCAAAUACAAAGAUUCGGAUCCUCCAACUUGCUUCACCAACCAUUGCCACGUGGCACAAUCAUGGCCAUUGAAUCAUGAACGGUUGAGAUUUAGUCAAGAUUGCCAAUUAUCCCAUGCACUCAUAUCUAUUGUAAGCUCAUUUCAUCAUCCAAUCAGUGCUCGGUCAACAGGAAAAGUCAACUUUUUUUUACACAAGCCUAAUUUUAAGCCGAUCUUGACUGAUCUUAAGGUUUUCGGACCUCCGGAAUCCAAAUUUGACCUCCGUUUAUCUGUUUGGAGCCUCGAAGUACGUGAAAUUAAUAAUUUUCCUAAUAAACACAUAAAAAUACACAAAAUUAAAUAUAUUUAAAACAUAAUUAAUAAUUCAUAAUAUAUUACAUAAACACAAAUAUAAAUUAUAACAUAAGCAUAAAAUAACAUAUUAUCGCUUGAUAAUUAAACAAUUUUUAAUACUAAUCAU